rnacentral:rRNA from 1 species
CCAGGGUAUUACGAGCUCAAGCUUAAAAUCCAAAGGAUUUGACGGUGUCCCAUCCACCUAGAGGAGCCUGUUCUAUAAUCGAUAAUCCUCGAUACACCCUACCAUUUUUUGCUCUUUCAGCCUGUAUACCUCCGUCGUAAGCUUACCAUUUGAAUGCUAAAAAGUAAGUUUAAUGAUCUUUCAUCAACACGUCAGGUCAAGGUGCAGCCAAUGAAAUGGAAAGCAAUGGGCUACAAUUUCUAUGAUAGAACAAACGAAAUACUGCAUGAAAAAUAGUCAUGAAGGCGGAUUUAGUAGUAAGGAGGGAAUAGAGUGCCCCCUUUAACAAGGCUCUGGGACGUGUACAAACCGCCCGUCACCCUCUUCAAUUGUAACUUCCUAUAUUUUUAACACUAUCUUACAUUUUAGAAGAGGCAAGUCGUAACAUGGUAAGUGUACUGGAAAGUGCACUUGGUAAACAAGAUGUAGCUUAAAUUAAAGCCUUUCGCUUACACCGAAAAAACAUUUGUUCAACCCAAAUCAUCUUGAGCCCAUAAUCUAGCCUUCUUUGAUUUCUAUUCAUUCCUAAUCUGACAGAAUAAAAUAAAACAUUUUAACUUUUUAGUAGAGGUGAUCAAAAAUUUUUUAGCGCU